GACGAACGCUGGCGGCGUGCUUAACACAUGCAAGUCGAACGGAAAGGCCCUGCUUUUGUGGGGUGCUCGAGUGGCGAACGGGUGAGUAACACGUGAGUAACCUGCCCUUGACUUUGGGAUAACUUCAGGAAACUGGGGCUAAUACCGGAUAGGAGCUCCUGCUGCAUGGUGGGGGUUGGAAAGUUUCGGCGGUUGGGGAUGGACUCGCGGCUUACCAGCUUGUUGGUGGGGUAGUGGCUUACCAAGGCUUUGACGGGUAGCCGGCCUGAGAGGGUGACCGGCCACAUUGGGACUGAGAUACGGCCCAGACUCCUACGGGAGGCAGCAGUGGGGAAUAUUGCACAAUGGGCGGAAGCCUGAUGCAGCAACGCCGCGUGCGGGAUGACGGCCUUCGGGUUGUAAACCGCUUUCGCCUGUGACGAAGCGUGCGUGACGGUAAUGGGUAAAGAAGCACCGGCUAACUACGUG
rnacentral:rRNA from 1 species